AUCAUAGAUAGAGAUAAACUGUAAACAGCAAAAAUGUUUAGUAAAGUAAGAUCUACAAAUAAGUCAACAGGACCAAAAUGGUCUGUUGACCCCUUUAGGAGUUAUUGACCUUUAUAGUCAAUUUUUAACCAUUUUUCGUAAAUCUUAGUUAUCUUUUACAAAAAUUUCUCCUCUGAAACUACUUGGCCAAAUUAAACCAAACUUGGCCACAAUCAUCAUUGGGGUAUCUAGUUUAAAAAUUGUGUCCGGUGACCCGGCCAACCAACCAAGAUGGACGCCAUGGCUAAAAAUAGAACAUAGGGG
rnacentral:lncRNA from 1 species